rfam:Gossypium hirsutum cultivar TM-1 chromosome 21, whole genome shotgun sequence
GGUGUAUGGAAUGAAGUUUGAUCCAAGAUCCAUCAAUCAUCUCUCUUUUUUAAGUCAUGAAUUAUGAUGAUAUUAAUGGAUCUCGGACCAGGCUUCAUUCCUCACACC